GUUUCUGGCCAUUCCACCCUAGACAUGCUGGAUCCCAUCUGAUCUGGGAAGCUAAGCAGAGCCAGGCCUACUUAGUACUUGGAUGGAGAAGCUGUAAUAUAUUAAAGUAUAGCAGAGUGCCAGCAAAU
ensembl:rRNA 5S_rRNA 5S ribosomal RNA